GUUCUGGUAGCACAGGUGAAGGCAAUUGACCUGUGCUACUGGAAGGGGGUGGAUCCUUGCUCCACCUAUCCUGGACCCCAUUUAAGAGCUGACUACCACUGGGAAAGGCUCUUUUUUCCAGAUGGUUCCCCUUGGAAUCUUCUCAGCAAGCCCAGGAUGGGGGGUGCUUCAAAUGGUGCAUCAAAGUAUGACAGUAACAAGGUCUCCUGAAGAGCUGUGGGGAUAAAAUUUCAGAGGUCCUGUUGCUUUUAUGUCUGCUGCAGCUGGCUAGGAGUGGAGUAGCUUGUUAUUAAAAAAAAAGCUGACUUCUUAAUGGCUGAUGACAACUCAACUCUUUCAAGGCAAAAGGAGGGACUGUUCCAGCUGGUAUGUGGCAACCUGGAAUACCUGCAACAAGCAAGCUGGCCCUUACCUUCUGCUUAGCAAGCUAAAUAGCAGGCAGUAUUGCCUGUAAUUAUGACAGGACGUCUCUUCCCAUGAUCUGCUGAGCACAUGAGAAACUAAGGGACAAUCGUGAAAAUGUUGGUUGGAAAGAGUCCAGCUUGGCUGGAGCAAGUCUCAUACCACCAGUAGCUCAAAGAAGCCAUGGCUGUUUCCAUAAAUCUUCAGGAAUGUUGCAGAUCAUUCCUACGGCUGGAAAAGGGAUUACGGCUGAAGAAAAAGAGUGGUGGCCUGUGUCACCUGUUCCAGUUUCAGUGUGCCUAAUAACUGACGAAACCAACAGAACUUUUGGGCUCUUCUGACUAGGAAUGAACAUGGAACAGAAGGUGGAUGGGAGAAUAAAGCUCAUCUUUGUAAUGCUUAGUCUACAAUUUGUACAGCUGACCCAAGGUAUGAGGUGAAGGAUGCAUAGCUCAAUGUCAAAUAAUUUAGUGCAAGUCAGUAAUAGUCAUAUUCCAUUUUCCUUGCCACAUCAAAUCUUACAGAAUUUAGCUUAAGGUAGUUUUGCAGCUGAGAAACUUCAGCAUUCAUUGUUCCCUAUUUAUUUAGGUUUUUAUUCAGGAUUUUACUCAGUUUUUAUUAUCUACUACUGCCUAUAAAAAUAGAGUAAACUGAAUACCUUUGAUAGCUUAACACAUAAAAUUUGCAUUUCAGGUUCAUUUCAGUUUUUGUCACAUAUUUGUAUGACCAAAUGACGAUACUUGCUAUGUUUAUAAAAUCAAUAUAGCCUCAUAAAGGAGAGAUUUUUUUUCAUUUACUACAGAAGCUGUUACUGUUCAUUAUACAAAAGAAUUAUAAAUGUAUUGCUUUUCCUUACUGCUGGUUUUUCCCUUACAUUUUUCUUUUUUAUUUCUCCACCAAAAUUCCUUUCAACAGAAGAGAGCAGAGGUAUGUAAGAUAUCUAAAAAUGUCGCCAGUAAAGCAAGAAAUUGUUAGUAGGCUUUUUCUGCUUUCUGUGAUAGGAUCUGGUCCAUCAACUUCUAAAUACUAGGCAGUGAUUCUGAACACUACUGAUGAAUUUCAUGUCCUGUUAAAAGGGCUUUUUCUGCCAAGUCUACUUAUUGGUUUGCUUGUCAUCAAAAUUCAACUGAGGAUGUGGAGAUCCUUCUCCAUCUAAAUAAAAGGAUUAAAAUAGUCACUUUAGCAAAAGAUCAAGUGAUUACAAGUAUAAGAAUUGUACCCACCAUAAUCCGAGGCAGUAAUUUGACCUUAAAGUACUGCAUCCCACCAGGUUUGAUAAUGAUAGAAUACUGAAUGUUCAUACUCUACAGGAGCAUGCUUCUACAGGAAGGUUCACCAACAUCUGCUUCUGCCAUUGUGGGCCAAUAUAAUUAAAUAAGAGGCAUUACUUUUUGAGCAGCUUUAUUAUAUCCUGUGACACUUCAUAGCUUUAUUUUUCCCCCCAGUUUCUAAUAGAGAACACAACAGUAACAUUCUGGAAGUUCCAACAAAACAAAUCAGUCUGUCUCAUGUCACAUGUUGAUGGGCUGAGUUAAGUGUUGCCAUUAACUUCAGCUAACAGAAACGUGGUGCAGCAGGCACCAGCCACGCACCUGCUUGAUUUUGUUCCAGACCUCCCACAAGCUUCUCAGCUAUGCUUCUGACAUAUGCUGUCUUUCCACUGGCAAAGCAUCUCCUUGGUUUUGAGCUACAGUAAUACCGGCCAUCCAACUUUUACAAAUUCAGAUACAUUGUCUGACUAAAUGCAUGAAAGAGAAGUUGUGCGUGAGUUAAUUACUCCUAGAAAAUAUAAUGUGGCAUUUGACAAGACAAGGCAAAGAAACUUCCUGUUCCUAAUGAUGUAUUUCUGAGUCUUCAUAUGAUCAGAAGGGAUUUAAGUUACUAAAGCAUCAUGAUGACCUAAAAGAGAAUUAAGUAGUGUUUGUAAGCUGUGGUAUUUGGACUGUUUCAAGUUUGAGAUUUAUUUGUUUGUGGGAUGUUUCGUUUUUAUUUUUAAGUGCUAUUUUUUUGAGAAUCAAGCAAAGCAUAGGGCUAGAUAAAGAUCAAAAAAAAUAUAUCUUUCAGAUAGAUAGGGAUUUUUUUGUUGUCAAUACCGUUUUUUUUCCUGCUGGAUACAAGCUGGAUAUUUUCAAGCUAUUGAUUUAUAUAUGCAUGCACAUUGAUUUACAUUUGUACAUUUAUACGUAUUGAUAUAUAUAAAUGUAUAUAUGUGACUACAGACUGUUUAAAUUGUUUUCUACUUGCUAAGUACUGUUCAGUUCCUGCUAGAAGUAAAUUAGCAAAUAUAUUAAAUAGAUCAUGUAAAAAAAAGAGAAUGCGUAAUUUCCUUUUGCCAGUUUUUAGUUUUCAUAAUACUUAUUCAUUUUUCAAUUUACAUUUAUACUUGAUCUGUUCUUUGUUGUCUGACUUACUGUUUUAUACUAAAUGCUAACAACAGCAAAACUUUACCUGUUUAAAAAUAAAGUGAGAAAAACAAAAGCAAAGAUUUUCUUGCAAAUACAAACAUAUCAUAUUAUUGUUCUCAAUUUACAUUGACACCCACUGAGAAACUGGAGGUGAAUUUAAGUCAUUAGUUUUUCAUACAUGUUUUUACUGAUGCUUUUAACUUUCCCUGUUUAGCCACAGCUACUUGAGAUGCCUCCCACAUUCAGUGUAGAAAGCACACUGUUAACUAACUUCUUGUUUAAAUGAAAGGCUAUGCUGACAAUUAAAUGUGGGAUCAUGCAUGCUUCAGUGCCAUACCUUAUUACAAUCAACGUGAGUAGAAGCAGAGUGCUGAAAUUAUGGGUUUUAGUCUGCAUCUGCAUGGCAUUAUUAUGCUUAUCAAGGUGAAAAUGUCGACACUGAAGAAUAUAAUUGUGUACCUUAAGCUGCAGCAAUAUUUAAACUGAAUUCCUGCCUUCACUAUUAAUGCAUCAGAGCACUACUCUUAAGAGACGCUAUAACUGAAAGCACAGCUUUCAGUUCAUGAAUUUAUUUUGUUUCUUGCUUUUUUUUUUUUUUUUUUUUUUUUUUUAAGAUUUUCCUAUAUAAAGACUUUGUUUGUAUAUUAAUUCAAUAUAGAUUUUCUAGUGCAUUUUUUUUUUCCCUUUUAACAAUGUCAGAGACCAGAGAGAAUAGUGUACACUUCUAUAUUGCUCCACUGCCCUCCAGAAGGUCAAGUGUGAAAUGGGUUCAGAGACAUAUUGACAGUUCAUGCGUGAGCUGCAACAAGUUAAGCUAGUUAUCAUUAAGUUGGAUCUGUGGCUGUAGUCUUCAUUCUUAUUAUACCAAAUCAAAUAA